UACAGAGGUCUCAAGCGUUGUUCGGAUUCAUUGGGCGUAAAGGGUGUGUAGGUGGCGAGCUAAGUCGGGUGUGAAAUUUCGGAGCUUAACUCCGAAACUGCAUUCGAUACUGGCGUGCUUGAGGACUGGAGAGGAGACUGGAAUUCAUGGUGUAGCGGUGAAAUGCGCAGAUAUCAGGAGGAACACCGGUGGCGAAGGCGGGUCUCUGGGCCGAUACUGACGCUGAGGAGCGAAAGCGUGGGGAGCAAACAGG
rnacentral:rRNA from 1 species